rnacentral:rRNA from 1 species
UGGGGAAUAUUGGACAAUGGACGCAAGUCUGAACCAGCCAUGCCGCGUGAAGGAUGAAGGUCCUCUGGAUUGUAAACUUCUUUUAUCUGGGACGAAAACGGGAUUUUUAUCUCAAUUGACGGUACCAGAGGAAUAAGCACCGGCUAACUCCGUGCCAGCAGCCGCGGUAAUACGGAGGGUGCGAGCGUUAUCCGGAUUUACUGGGUUUAAAGGGUGCGUAGGUGGGCUUAUAAGUCAGUGGUGAAAUCUCCGAGCUUAACUUGGAAACUGCCGUUGAUACUAUAGGUCUUGAAUUAUCUGGAUGUAAGCGGAAUAUGUCAUGUAGCGGUGAAAUGCUUAGAUAUGACAUAGAACACCAAUUGCGAAGGCAGCUUACUACAUAUAAAUUGACGCUGAGGCACGAAAGCGUGGGGAUCAAACA